AAGUAACUUGACAAUGUAGGCUCCUCAAGGAUUUAUAUUUUACUAAUAUGAUACCAAAUGUGCAGCAUUUCUUAACUCAAUAUUCUCUCACACAUCACUUGCAGUCUAGAAUCCAAUUGAUUCAUGGAAUUGUGGGAAUGGGAAUCAGUAAAAUAGACAUUUUGACACUCAUUAAAUUCAUGUUUUUUUUUUAAUUCCUGAUCCUUAGAUCAGGCGUUUGAUUACCAUAGUAUCUGUAUUGUAGUGAUAUGAUUUUAGAUUAGUAUACCCACCUGUCUAAAGUUAAUAAAAAUGCACACAGUACAUAAUACAACUAUAUAAAAAACACUUAACUUAUUCAAUAUU